GUCGUGGUAAUACUAUGAACGUUUAGGUGCCGAUCACCAUAUAAAUUCAACGAUGAAAAAGCCUGGAAGGAGGAGAGAUGACUAGAAACAAUUCGGUUGGCCAUUUUAUGCGUAGAUUAAUUUGUCGAAGUAGAGGACCUUGUGCAGUUCAGAAUAAUUCUAAAUGAGAAGAUCCUGCCAUGGAAAAGACGACUGGGCGGACAUAAAGUGGAAAGGAGGGGAAAUAACUCACACCAUGCAGCAGGACCCCUUCAGCUGUGGGGUCUUUGUAAUGCAGGAAGUUGCACAGAAAUUCCCCAACAUCCCUUCCCAAAUUGAUAUGGAACCUUCAAAAACACAUGGAGCAACUGCGAAAAGAAAU
rnacentral:lncRNA from 1 species